rnacentral:rRNA from 1 species
GAUGAACGCUGGCGGCGUGCCUAAUACAUGCAAGUCGAGCGAACAGAUGAGGAGCUUGCUCCUCUGACGUUAGCGGCGGACGGGUGAGUAACACGUGGAUAACCUACCUAUAAGACUGGGAUAACUUCGGGAAACCGGAGCUAAUACCGGAUAAUAUAUUGAACCGCAUGGUUCAAUAGUGAAAGACGGUUUUGCUGUCACUUAUAGAUGGAUCCGCGCCGCAUUAGCUAGUUGGUAAGGUAACGGCUUACCAAGGCAACGAUGCGUAGCCGACCUGAGAGGGUGAUCGGCCACACUGGAACUGGGACGCGGUCCAGGCUCCUACGGGAGGCAGCAGUAGGGAAUCGUCGGCAAUGGGCGAAAGCCUGACGGAGCAACGCCGCGUGAGUGAUGAAGGUCUUCGGAUCGUAAAACUCUGUUAUUAGGGAAGAACAAAUGUGUAAGUAACUAUGCACGGCUUGACGGUACCUAAUCAGAAAGCCACGGCUAACUACGUG